rnacentral:misc_RNA from 1 species
GAUGAAGAACGUAGCGAAAUGCGAUAAGUAAUGUGAAUUGCAGAAUUCAGUGAAUCAUCGAAUCUUUGAACGCACAUUGCGCCCGCCAGUAUUCUGGCGGGCAUGCCUGUUCGAGCGUCAUUUCAACCAUCAAGCCCCAGGCUUGUGUUGGGGACCUGCGGCUGCCGCAGGCCCUGAAAACCAGUGGCGGGCUCGCUGUCACACCGGGCGUAGUAGAUUUUAUCUCGCUCAGGGCGUGCGGCGGGCUCCAGCCGUUAAAGCACCCACCUUUCGCAAGGUUGACCUCGGAUCAGGUAGGAAUACCCGCUGAACUUAAGCAUAUCAAUAAGCGGAGGA